rnacentral:lncRNA from 10 species
CUUUCCUUCACUGUACCUUAAUAAAUAGGUAAUUUACUAAUAAAAAGCUUAUCUAGAAGUUGCCAGGAUAUUACAUUUCUUUACAUACAUACAUUUAUUUAUUUAUUUAGAGACAGAAUCUGACUCUGUCGCCCAGGCUGGAGUGCAACGGCGCGAUAUCGACUCUGCAACCUCUGCCUCCCGGGUUCAAGCGGUCCUUGUGCCUCACCCCCCUGAGUAGCUGGGACUACAGGCAUCCGCCACCUCGCCAGGAAGAUGACCAUCUUUUACUGCCCAACGACAUCUUUCUACCAAUGUGAACAGAGACUAGCAGCACAGUGAUCACCUGCAGAUAGACCUGGCUUUAUCUGUACAUAACACCAAAAGAAAAAACCUGGAUUCCAGAAGGAAAUAAAGAUUUUCAGUCCCUGCAAGAAUUCUCAAUGUUCUUCACAUAAUUUGGAGGUAUUGUUUCUGAUAUAUGGGUUAUUUUAAUGGUGGUAUCUGUUUUUUACCCAUAAAUGUUGAGGGCAUCUUACACUUCUCCUAUGUAAUAGUUUUCCUUGGGAAAAAUCUCAUAGAGCCGUCAUUCAUAAAGUGUGUUCCAAGGAACACAAAGUCAUCAGGAAUCAGGGUUACCUGUGACGGUGGGGGAAGGAUUCUGAGAUCAACUGGAGAAGCACAUGAUUAAACAAAACUUAGUAGGUCUCUAUUGUAGGACUUCUCAGAGACCUUAGUAUGCUUAUAGGGGUUGCCAUUUGUGUGUUUUGCGUGUGUGCACUGUGGGUGUUUUAUGUAUUAUGUGUCUGUUGUGUGAGUAUGUGUAUGUUUUCUAUGCGUUGUAUUGCAGAACUUUUUCAGGGCGUAUACAGAGUAUAACCUGGAAAAUCUAAUUUAUUUAACAUUAACUUUUCAGACAUACUUCUUAAGCUGUAUUUUGGUUUUUUGCACUUUAAAAUGUCAGUGUACUUUUACAGCAGAUGAACUAGUUCCUUAUAACAUAGCUUUUUCUUGUUUCUCAGAAUUUUAGCUAAGAUUGUACAAAAGAGACUUCUAUUAAAUAAAUAUAAUUCCCUAUCAAGUCUGUAAUCAACUUGAAAAUCGUUCAUCUAGAAACUGAAUACAUUAGGCCUUGAUAUUAAUAACAUAAUAUAAUGCAGUAUUUUAGAUAAUAUUCAAAGAGGAAAUAAAGCACUAAAGAAAGAGUAGCAAUCAUACUUCAAAUAUUAUAAUUAUAGAUUAAAAUGCUCUUA